rnacentral:rRNA from 1 species
GACGAACGCUGGCGGCGUGCUUAACACAUGCAAGUCGAACGGUGAAAGGGAGCUUGCUCCCUGGAUCAGUGGCGAACGGGUGAGUAACACGUGGGCAACCUGCCCCAGACUUCGGGAUAACGCUUCGAAAGAGGUGCUAAUACCGGAUACGAACUCCUUGGGCAUCCUUGGAGUUGGAAAGUUUUUCGGUGAAGGAUGUGCCCGCGGCCUAUCAGCUUGGUGGUGCGGUGGUGGCUCACCAAGGCGACGACGGGUAGCCGGCCUGAGAGGGCGACCGGCCACACUGGGACUGAGACACGGCCCAGACUCCUACGGGAGGCAGCAGUGGGGAAUAUUGCGCAAUGGGCGAAAGCCUGACGCAGCAACGCCGCGUGCGGGAUGACGGCCUUCGGGUUGUAAACCGCUUUCAGCAGGGAAGAAGCCGCAAGGUGACGGUACCUGCAGAAGAAGCACCGGCUAACUACGUGCCAGCCGCCGCAGUAA